rnacentral:rRNA from 1 species
UACAGAGGGUGCAAGCGUUGUUCGGAAUUAUUGGGCGUAAAGGGCGCGUAGGCGGUGCUGUAAGUCUGUGGUGAAAUCUCUGGGCUUAACUCAGAGUCUGCCAUAGAAACUGCAGUGCUGGAGUGUGGGAGAGGUGAGUGGAAUUCCAGGUGUAGCGGUGAAAUGCGUAGAUAUCUGGAGGAACACCGGUGGCGAAGGCGGCAUCCUGGACCAAUUCUGACGCUGAGGAGCGAAAGCCAGGGGAGCAAACGGG